AAACAUUGCCUCAUGAAUCUAAAUAUAUAAGGUACAUCCUGCCCAGUGAUAUAUUUUUAACGGCCGCGGUACCCUGACCGUGCUAAGGUAGCAUAAUCAUUUGCCUUCUAAUUAAAGGCUAGUAUGAAUGGACAAACGAAAGUUUAUCUGUCUCUAAUAAAUAAAUAAAAAUUAAUCAUUUAAUGAAAAAGUUAAAAUACAAAUAAAGGACAAAAAGACCCUGUAGAACUUUAUUUAACCCCAGCCCAACAACUUAAUAUUAAUAUAAUUUCUACGGCCGGGUCUUAAUUUAGUUGGGGCGACUUUGGAAUAUAAAAAUCUUCCUUUAUAUAUUAAGCCCAUAAGCUAUCCUAUUGACCCUAUUAAUAGAUCAUAAGAAUAGUUACCUCAGGGAUAACAGACUAAUUUUCCUUAAGAGACCACAUUGACAGGAAAGUUUGGCACCUCGAUGUUGGCUUAGGUGCCCCUUGAAGUGCAGCCGCUUCAAAUGGCGGGCUUGUUCAUCCCUUAAACACCUACGUGAUCU
rnacentral:rRNA from 1 species